rnacentral:rRNA from 1 species
UACGAAGGGGGCUAGCGUUGCUCGGAAUCACUGGGCGUAAAGCGCACGUAGGCGGCUUUUUAAGUCAGAGGUGAAAUCCUGGAGCUCAACUCCAGAACUGCCUUUGAUACUGGAGAGCUUGAGUCCGGGAGAGGUGAGUGGAACUGCGAGUGUAGAGGUGAAAUUCGUAGAUAUUCGCAAGAACACCAGUGGCGAAGGCGGCUCACUGGACCGGUAUUGACGCUGAGGUGCGAAAGCGUGGGGAGCAAACAGG